rnacentral:rRNA from 1 species
GACGUAGGGGGCUAGCGUUGUUCGGAAUUACUGGGCGUAAAGAGCGCGUAGGCGGUCUGUUAAGUUAGAAGUGAAAGCCCGGGGCUUAACCCCGGAACUGCUUUUAAAACUGGCAAACUAGAGUGCGAGAGGGGGUGAUGGAAUUCCUAGUGUAGAGGUGAAAUUCUUAGAUAUUAGGAGGAACACCGGUGGCGAAGGCGAUCACCUGGCUCGAUACUGACGCUGAGGCGCGAAAGCGUGGGGAGCAAACAGG